rnacentral:rRNA from 1 species
AAAUUGAAGAGUUUGAUCAUGGCUCAGAUUGAACGCUGGCGGCAGGCCUAACACAUGCAAGUCGAACGGUAACAGGAAGCAGCUUGCUGCUUUGCUGACGAGUGGCGGACGGGUGAGUAAUGUCUGGGAAACUGCCUGAUGGAGGGGGAUAACUACUGGAAACGGUGGCUAAUACCGCAUAACGUCGCAAGACCAAAGAGGGGGACCUUCGGGCCUCUUGCCAUCAGAUGUGCCCAGAUGGGAUUAGCUUGUUGGUGAGGUAACGGCUCACCAAGGCGACGAUCCCUAGCUGGUCUGAGAGGAUGACUAGCCACACUGGAACUGAGACACGGUCCAGACUCCUACGGGAGGCAGCAGUGGGGAAUAUUGCACAAUGGGCGCAAGCCUGAUGCAGCCAUGCCGCGUGUAUGAAGAAGGCCUUCGGGUUGUAAAGUACUUUCAGCGGGGAGGA